UACGUAGGGUGCGAGCGUUGUCCGGAAUUACUGGGCGUAAAGAGCUCGUAGGCGGUUUGUCGCGUCGUCUGUGAAAACCAGCAGCUCAACUGCUGGCUUGCAGGCGAUACGGGCAGACUUGAGUACUGCAGGGGAGACUGGAAUUCCUGGUGUAGCGGUGAAAUGCGCAGAUAUCAGGAGGAACACCGGUGGCGAAGGCGGGUCUCUGGGCAGUAACUGACGCUGAGGAGCGAAAGCGUGGGGAGCGAACAGG
rnacentral:rRNA from 1 species